rnacentral:snoRNA from 1 species
CGGGUUACAUAUAGGAUUAUGUAUAUAGCACAUUCCCGGUCGUUGUUUCCCAGCGAAGACACUAAUACCAAGUUUGUAGAUGAGAUGUAGUGCGCCGUCUGUAAAGGGAAGUAUGAAUAGUAACUGAUAGGUCCUUCGGGGCUAAACGUUCUAUUCAAUUGAUGAACUUGCCGGUUGAAUAUUCCAACAACCUGGCGAGGACGGUCUGCGCAUUCUGACAGCU